rnacentral:rRNA from 1 species
UACGUAGGGUGCGAGCGUUGUCCGGAAUUAUUGGGCGUAAAGAGCUCGUAGGCGGUGUGUCACGUCGGCCGUGAAACCUGCAGCUUAACUGUGGCGUGCGGUCGAUACGGGCAUCACUGGAGUUCGGCAGGGGAGACUGGAAUUCCGUGGUGUAGCGGUGAAAUGCGCAGAUAGUCAGGAGGAACACCGGUGGCGAAGGCGGGUCUC